GGAUCGAUGCGUCGGUCGUGCCUUCGGUACGUACUGGCGUCAUCGAUUCCUCCCUUCUUGAAGAACCGUGAUGUCAUUAAUUUGGUGUUACGGGGAAUCAGGACUGUUACCUUGAAAAAUUAGAGUGUUUAAAGCAGGCUAACGCUUGAAUACAUUAGCAUGGAAUAAUGAAAUAGGACGUUCGAACCUAUUUUGUUGGUUUCUAGGAUCGACGUAAUGAUUAAUAGGGAUAGUUGGGGCUGGAGGACUGGCCAA
rnacentral:rRNA from 1 species